AUGGAAAAGAGUGUUUGCUUUGGUGAAAGCAAUGAGCAACCAAGGCUUGCGGGAAUCAAGAAGUUGAGUGUGAUUGAUAAGUUAUUUUCACCAGCUUAUAAAUUGACCUGAUCAAAGGAAAAAUGUUGGUGAUAAUUUUUCUAGCACAUACUUUCUUAUAGAUUAAAAUAUAUUGAAAGGUAUAAAAUUAGAAAAGAGAAUCAUAUGAUAAAUGAGAAUCAUCAAAUUUUGUGGUUUCAAAUAAAUUGACAAGAGAGCCCAACCCAACAGAAGCAGCGCCUCAUCUCAUCCGAACACCAACAACAAUGUACGUGCCUUCCGCUUCUCUAUCCGGUUACUCUGUGGCCAUGAAUAGCUUAACGGCGAGUUUCACAGCUCGAAUAUGCGCCACGCGCCGCGACCUACUCCAUAUACGACACCGUUCCUUUCAUCCUCUCACUACUCGACGCGUUGCCACCAAACUCACUCCUCCAAGAAUCGUUUGCAUGGCGGAACCUUAUCUGAUAACGAAGCUUGAGUCCGCCGAGAAAACGUGGCAAGAGUUAUCGAUGAAAUUUCAGGUCAAGCUUGCUGAUCCAGACGUAGUUUCUGAUCCAAAGGAGUACCAGAAGUUAGCACAAUCAGUUGCAGAACUUGAUGAGGUUGUGUCCACUUAUAGGAGAUUUAAAGACUGUGAGAAGGUUCUAGAAGAAACCAAAGCUUUAGCAAAGGAUGAUGGCAACGAUGAGGAUAUGGUGGAAAUGAUAUCUUUUGAAAUUGACUCUUUGUCUAAGCAACUUGCAGAGCUUGAGGAAAAGCUUAAGGUGUUACUGCUUCCCAGUGAUCCUAUGGAUGCUAAAAACAUAUUGCUUGAAGUACGAGCAGGCACUGGUGGUGACGAGGCCGGAAUAUGGGCUGGUGAUCUUGUUCGAAUGUAUGAAAGAUAUAGUGAAAGGAAUUCUUGGAAGUAUUCUCUUGUCUCAAGCUCUGCGGCAGAAAAAGGAGGAUACAAAACUUAUGUGAUGGAGAUAAAAGGAAAUCGUGUUUACAGUAAAUUGAAAUAUGAAUCUGGUGUCCACCGAGUUCAACGUGUUCCCCUAACAGAAACACAGGGCCGGGUGCAUACUUCAACCGCAACAGUGGCCAUCAUGCCAGAGGCUGAUGAAGUUGAAGUCAUAAUUGACCCAAAAGAUAUUGAACUGACAACAGCACGUUCUGGGGGUGCUGGAGGCCAGAAUGUUAACAAGGUUGAAACAGCCAUUGAUCUCUUCCAUAAACCAACGGGAAUCCGCAUCUUUUGUACUGAAGAAAGAACACAACUUAAGAACAAGAAUCGUGCUUUUCAGUUGCUCCGAGCAAAACUUGCCAUGAGGCGGUGAGAGUUCUUCUUCCUCUUGUGUGCUGCUGCCUGCUUCUCCUGUCAAAGCUACAUGUGAUUCUACAUGCUUCUUCUUGCUUGGUGUUUCUGAAUGUCCUGCUAAUAAAUAUGAGAUGAAGAUAAGGGAGCAGCAAGAGUCAUUACGAAAUCAAAGGAAAUUACAGGUCGGUACAGGUGCACGGUCAGAAAAAAUCCGAACAUACAAUUAUAAGGACAACAGGGUUACUGACCACAGAUUGAAGAUAAACUAUGAGCUCACCUCUUUUCUUGAUGGUGAUAUAGAAGAUGCUGUUCAGUCUUGUGUUACAAUGGAGCAAAAGGAACUUCUGGAAGAACUUGCUGAAUCUGUGGGUGCUCCGGCUGGCUGAUAUGCAGCAGAUUUCGCCCAAGUGAUUUGAAUUUUUUUUGCUGGAGUAAUUUUCAGAAUGGAAGAUCUGCCAUAUUGUUGUUCUCCUGAACGUGCCCCAUCAUCCCAAGUUUGAGACAUAGACAUACCGUAUCGAGUUGAUUGAUUGUCAAUGUGUAGUAGAUAGGGGGCACUUAUACAUAUAACACUUAAUUAUAUAGUACUCUGUAAAAAUCUGUUUCAUUAUGUGAAGUGAUGCAAUUAACUUUUGCAUUUUUUUUUGCAUUGUAUAUGGUGUUGAACCCAAUGAACCAAGAGUUCGAUUCCCGGCUCCCUCAUACUGGUUGAAA